GAGUCCUUUUAUUUAGGACCAGGGAAAAACCUCUAAUUGUUAACUUUGUAUUUUCCCACUGACUAGCGCAUAUCUUGCCUAAGCGCAGGCUUAAGCAAUGCGUUUUGUUCUGCCCUAGCGCCUAGGUGCUUACACCCUUUCCCCCUACUGAUUUAAGAGGUGUGGAUAUUUUUUAAGGAUGUGUUGCUCGCUUUGUUGUUCAGAUCACAGAAGAAUUGUCAGGACCUCACCGGCAGAUCCCUCAGCUAUCAGGGAAAGCAGCCAUCAGCGGAGAUUGAGGGUGCCUCUCCGGCAAGAGUGCUCGUGUCGUGGUGGUUUCCCACCAGCAGCAUGGGGGAGACGGUGUCCUCUGCAGCUAGGUCUACUUGUUGGCGACCUCACCGUCACCAGCCCAUCUGCAGCCUACUUGAAUGGAUAUGCUUCCUGAGAGACCAUUUCUUAUGCAUCAGAUCCUGAAGGUGGAUGAUGCUUGUUUAGAUAUCUAUGAUUCCAAAUUAUUCAAAAUGGUUCAUGUUAUAUUGGAUGCUAUUUUAUUGAGAGUGGCUUCAAACAAUAUGGCAUGACCAUAUUUAUUUUCUCUUUGGCCAAUAAUGAAAUGAUCUGUGUGCAUAUAAAAUGGUUAUCGAUACCAUAAUUCUUGGUUUUAAUUAGCCUUUUGCGCUAACCGGUUUAAGCCAUUCUACUAUAUGUAAUACAAUCCACAUUGUAUCAUCUUUCCAUUUACGUCUCUUACUUAUUCACUACUAACAUUCCUUCUAAAUGGCUUCUUGCGCCAUUGGCGCAACCAGGUCAUCUAGUUGUUCUCAAGCACGAUAAAAAGGAACAUGUUCUAGAGGAUCCACUUCCAGAGGAACCUGCCGAUAAUUGAUACGUCUCCGUCGUAUCUAUAA